rnacentral:lncRNA from 1 species
AUGGGGUGAGCCCCUCCUGGCUCUGCAGGUUGUUCCCGGUCUCGUAGGGAGAGAUGCUGGGCACAAAGGGGCUUUACCGCUCUUGGGACGGGCAGCAGGUGGAAUUGGCUUCUCAGGGGCUUCUCCGAGCGGCAGGCGCGGGGCGAGAGCGGGCGGGAGGAGGAGGCCCGCGGGCCCAUCGAAACACCGGCUCUCUCGCCUCUCCCGUCUCUCCGCAGCGGUGUCCACCUCCGUCUUCAUCGUAGCGAUCCUCAUCCUGCUGCUGCUCUUGUACCACCGGGAUCCAAUGUGCUGCCAGUUCCUCUGCUCCUGCCGCCUGUUCCAGACCCCAAGCCAGUAUGACCGCCCCCCGCCCUACUUCAGCAGCAGCCAGCAGCUGGUGGGACCCCAGCGUGGAGCCUCACGGCUGGAGAGCACUGCUGAGAACCCGGGCAUGCAGGGAGACGAGCUCUUCUGUGUCGGACCCCCCAGCACGUACCAGCUCCCGUCCUGGGAGCAGCCCCGCCUGCCCAGCUACGAGAGCGUGCGGAAGAAAGAUCGCCAGCGGGAAAUCCAUCAGAUGAUUGCUGACAGGUUUGGGCUGUGGGCAGAGCCAUCCCAGGAGAUGCCACCUCCUUAUGAGCAUGCUCUGAGGCAUCCUCCAGCUCUCUCAGGAACAGGAAUAAGCUCAGAGACCUUGGACAGACAUGGUGUUCCAGACUCUUUCAAUGCCCCCCUCAGCCACCAAACUCAGCGAAACACUGUGGUGUAA